UACGUAUGCCCCAAGCGUUAUCCGGAUUUAUUGGGCGUAAAGCGAGCGCAGGCGGUUAUUUAAGUCUGAAGUGAAAGCCUACGGCUCAACCGUAGAAUUGCAUCGGAAACUGGAUGACUUGAGUGCAGUAGAGGAGAGUGGAACUCCAUGUGUAGCGGUGAAAUGCGUAGAUAGACGGAAGAACACCAGAGGCGAAGGCGACUCUCUGGACUGUAACCGAAGCUGAGGUUCGAAAGUGUGGGUAGCAAACAGG
rnacentral:rRNA from 1 species